AUUUUCGAUCUGCUCGAUCGAUGGGGCGGCUCGAUCGGGCUGGGCCUUCUGUCUUCCGGCCGACGCACGCGUAGGCUGACUGGCGGAUGUGGCUCUCUGCCGCUUAUUUCGUUCGCUUAGACGCAUCGGCUCUGUGGUGGGGACUUUUGAAUUUUGUCAGUUUUGUCCUUGAGUUUUGCCACGGCUUCCAAGAGUAGCUUCCUUGUAAAUCUUCUAGAGCUCCCCACGAUGUCAGCCAGGUGGGCAGCCCUUUUUUUCCGAUGCCGAACUCCUGCCUUCAUCCUCCAAAUCUGUGGCUGAACUUGGGCUCAGAAUUGGGCGCUGUGGCAUCUCUGGGGACUUGAAGACGUUCACUCUUCUGAACCUAUUCCAAGCUGCACUGCCGAGAUGAAAGUUAAAUCGCUUCAGGAAUCUUGAUGAAGAAGGAGGAGACAGGCUACCAAAAAUCCCUUCCAAAAUAUAUGUAUAUUUUUGGUCACCCUACAACAUCAUCCAGGGAUCUUUGACAACUUAAGAAAACAGUUUAACAACAGUUAGAAAUUAACUUCCUGAGAUGAAUAAGGAAACAUAUUUAGAAAGGCUAGAAAGCAAUAUGUAUUAGAAAAUGCAAGGCAAGGUUUAGAACAUGUAAAAACACGCAAUCACUCAUCUCAAGGUGAUUCUCAUACUUCACAAAAAAUUACAAAGGAAAAAGGAAAAAAAAAUAGUAAGAAAAAUAUGUGUCUCCAAGCCUAUGUACUUUAUCCUUACUUGAAAUCUGGAAUGACUCUUAGGCCUUUGCCUGGGGCCUUUGGACUGAGAAUUGUGAAAUAAUGCAGCUCAUUCCUAGAAGCUUUAUCGUUUGGUUUCUCAGGCAGAUCAAAUGCCAACGGGUGUGAGCAAGCACAAGCCAAGAACAGUCAGACAGAUAAUAGCCAGACAGACAAGGACCCGACAUACUUAAAGGACACUCGAAGAACUAGAGAAACAUAAUUGGGGCUAUUUAGUGAAGUCAUUACAUGUAUCAGUGUCUUAAAGUGGACAUUGGCUAUAAAUAAAGAAAAUAAUGAUUCUUGCA